rnacentral:misc_RNA from 1 species
AACCUUAUGGACCUGCGGGCGUAUACCUGCGGAGGGAUCAUUACCGAGUUUUCAACUCCCUAACCCUUCUGUGAACCUACCUAUCGUUGCUUCGGCGGACUCGCCCCAGCCCGGACGCGGACUGGACCAGCGGCCCGCCGGGGACCUCAAACUCUUGUAUUCCAGCAUCUUCUGAAUACGCCGCAAGGCAAAACAAAUGAAUCAAAACUUUUAGCAACGGAUCUCAGAUCGGAAGAGCAC